AUUGAACGCUGGCGGAAUGCUUUACACAUGCAAGUCGAACGGCAGUACGGGGGCAACCCUGGUGGCGAGUGGCGAACGGGUGAGUAAUACAUCGGAACGUGCCCGGUCGUGGGGGAUAACGUAGCGAAAGCUACGCUAAUACCGCAUACGAUCUACGGAUGAAAGCGGGGGAUCGCAAGACCUCGCGCGAUUGGAGCGGCCGAUGGCAGAUUAGGUAGUUGGUGGGGUAAAGGCUCACCAAGCCUUCGAUCUGUAGCUGGUCUGAGAGGACGACCAGCCACACUGGGACUGAGACACGGCCCAGACUCCUACGGGAGGCAGCAGUGGGGAAUUUUGGACAAUGGGCGAAAGGCCUGAUCCAGCCAUUCCGCGUGCAGGAUGAAGGCCCUCGGGUUGUAAACUGCUUUUGUACGGAACGAAACGGCCUUUUCUAAUACAGAGGGCUAAUGACGGUACCGUAAGAAUAAGCACCGGCUAACUACGUGCCAGCAACCGCGGUAAAGUCGAUAUCG
rnacentral:rRNA from 1 species